rnacentral:rRNA from 1 species
AUUGAACGCUGGCGGUAUGCUUAACACAUGCAAGUCGAACGGUAACAUAAGAGAGCUUGCUCUCUUGAUGACGAGUGGCGGACGGGUGAGUAAUAUAUAGGAACCUACCUCAUAGUUUAGGAUAAGCACUCGAAAGAGUGUCUAAUACUGGAUGUGGACUAUGGUUUAAAGCAGGGGAUCUUCGGACCUUGUGCUACGAGAUGGGCCUAUAUGAGAUUAGCUAGUUGGUGAGAUAAAAGCUCACCAAGGCGACGAUCUCUAGCUGGUUUGAGGGGAUGAUCAGCCACACUGGGACUGAGACACGGCCCAGACUCCUACGGGAGGCAGCAGUGGGGAAUAUUGCACAAUGGGGGAAACCCUGAUGCAGCGACGCCGCGUGGGUGAAGACGGCC